AACGCACAUUGCGCCCUCUGGUAUUCCGGGGGGCAUGCCUGUUUGAGCGUCAUUACAACCCUCAAGCUCUGCUUGGUAUUGGGUGUCACCCUCUUGUGGUGCACUUCAAAAUCAGUGGCGGUGCCACCUGGCUCCUAGCGUAGUAAAACUUUCUCGCUAUUGAGUUUGGGUGGUUGCUUGCCAGCAACCCUUAUUUUUUAUAGGUUGACCUCGGAUCAGGUAGGGAUACCCGCUGAACUUAA
rnacentral:misc_RNA from 2 species